rnacentral:rRNA from 1 species
AAGGUGGGGAUGACGUCAAAUCAUCAUGCCCCUUAUGAUUUGGGCUACACACGUGCUACAAUGGACAAUACAAAGGGUAGCGAAACCGCGAGGUCAAGCAAAUCCCAUAAAGUUGUUCUCAGUUCGGAUUGUAGUCUGCAACUCGACUAUAUGAAGCUGGAAUCGCUAGUAAUCGUAGAUCAGCAUGCUACGGUGAAUACGUUCCCGGGUCUUGUACACACCGCCCGUCACACCACGAGAGUUUGUAACACCCGAAGCCGGUGGAGUAACCAUUUGGAGCUAGCCGUCGAAGGUGGGACAAAUGAUUGGGGUGAAGUCGUAACAAGGUAGCCGUAUCGGAAGGUGCGGCUGGAUCACCUCCUUUCUAAGGA